rnacentral:rRNA from 1 species
UGGGGAAUUUUGCACAAUGGGGGAAACCCUGAUGCAGCGACGCCGCGUGAUUUAGAAGGCCUUCGGGUUGUAAAAAUCUUUUUUAUGGGAUGAAAAUGACAGUACCAUAAGAAUAAGGUCCGGCUAAAUACGUGCCAGCAGCCGCGGUAAUACGUAUGGACCGAGCGUUGUCCGGAAUCAUUGGGCGUAAAGGGUACGUAGGCGGCCCAGUAAGUUAGAAGUGAAAUAAUAUAGCUCAACUAUAUAAAGCUUUUAAAACUGCUAGGCUUGAGAGAUGGAAGGGAAAGUGGAAUUCCUAGUGUAGCGGUGAAAUGCGCAGAUAUUAGGAAGAAUACCGGUGGCGAAGGCGACUUUCUGGUCAUCAUCUGACGCUGAGGUACGAAAGCGUGGGUAGCAAA